rnacentral:rRNA from 1 species
UACGUAGGGGGCAAGCGUUGUCCGGAUUUAUUGGGCGUAAAGAGCGUGUAGGCGGUUUGGUAGGUCCGUUGUGAAAACUCGAGGCUCAACCUCGAGACGCCGAUGGUAACCAUCAGACUAGAGUCCGGAAGAGGAGAGUGGAGUUCCUGGUGUAGCGGUGAAAUGCGCAGAUAUCAGGAAGAACACCCGUGGCUAAGGCGGCUCUCUAGUACGGUACUGACGCUGAGACGCGAAAGCGUGGGGAGCGAACAGG